rnacentral:rRNA from 1 species
AGCGAACGCUGGCGGCAGGCCUAACACAUGCAAGUCGAACGAACUCUUCGGAGUUAGUGGCGGACGGGUGAGUAACACGUGGGAACGUGCCUUUUGGUUCGGAAUAACUCAGGGAAACUUGUGCUAAUACCGAAUGUGCCCUUCGGGGGAAAGAUUUAUCGCCAUUAGAGCGGCCCGCGUCUGAUUAGCUAGUUGGUGAGGUAACGUCUCACCAAGGCGACGAUCAGUAGCUGGUCUGAGAGGAUGACCAGCCACACUGGGACUGAGACACGGCCCAGACUCCUACGGGAGGCAGCAGUGGGGAAUCUUGCGCAAUGGGCGAAAGCCUGACGCAGCCAUGCCGCGUGAAUGAUGAAGGUCUUAGGAUUGUAAAAUUCUUUCACCGGGGACGAUAAUGACGGUACCCGGAGAAGAAGCCCCGGCUAACUUCGUG